rnacentral:misc_RNA from 1 species
GAUGAAGAACGCAGCGAAAUGCGAUAAGUAAUGUGAAUUGCAGAAUUCAGUGAAUCAUCGAAUCUUUGAACGCACAUUGCGCCCGCCAGUAUUCUGGCGGGCAUGCCUGUUCGAGCGUCAUUUCAACCAACAAGCCCCCGGCUUGUGUUGGGGACCUGCGGCUGCCCGCAGGCCCUGAAAACCAGUGGCGGGCUCGCUGUCACUCCGAGCGUAGUAGCAUAUAUCUCGCUCAGGGCGUGCUGCGGGUUCCGGCCGUUAAAAGCCUUUUUUUACCCAAGGUUGACCUCGGAUCAGGUAGGAAGACCCGCUGAACUUAAGCAUAUCAAUAAGCGGAGGA